rnacentral:rRNA from 1 species
UUCAAAUUGCGCAGGCCUACACAUGCAGUCGAGCGGUAGCACAGAGAGCUUGCUCUCGGGUGACGAGCGGCGGACGGGUGAGUAAUGUCUGGGAAACUGCCUGAUGGAGGGGGAUAACUACUGGAAACGGUAGCUAAUACCGCAUAACGUCGCAAGACCAAAGUGGGGGACCUUCGGGCCUCAUGCCAUCAGAUGUGCCCAGAUGGGAUUAGCUGGUAGGUGGGGUAACGGCUCACCUAGGCGACGAUCCCUAGCUGGUCUGAGAGGAUGACCAGCCACACUGGAACUGAGACACGGUCCAGACUCCUACGGGAGGCAGCAGUGGGGAAUAUUGCACAAUGGGCGCAAGCCUGAUGCAGCCAUGCCGCGUGUGUGAAGAAGGCCUUCGGGUUGUAAAGCACUUUCAGCGGGGAGGAAGGCGGUGAGGUUAAUAACCUUAUCGAUUGACGUUACCCGCAGAAGAAGCACCGGCUAACUCCGUGCCAGCAGCCGCGGUAAUACGGAGGGUGCAAGCGUUAAUCGGAAUUACUGGGCGUAAAGCGCACGCAGGCGGUCUGUCAAGUCGGAUGUGAAAUCCCCGGGCUCAACCUGGGAACUGCAUUCGAAACUGGCAGGCUAGAGUCUUGUAGAGGGGGGUAGAAUUCCAGGUGUAGCGGUGAAAUGCGUAGAGAUCUGGAGGAAUACCGGUGGCGAAGGCGGCCCCCUGGACAAAGACUGACGCUCAGGUGCGAAAGCGUGGGGGAGCAAACAGGAUUAGAUACCCUGGUAGUCCACGCUGUAAACGAUGUCGAUUUGGAGGUUGUGCCCUUGAGGCGUGGCUUCCGGAGCUAACGCGUUAAAUCGACCGCCUGGGGAGUACGGCCGCAAGGUUAAAACUCAAAUGAAUUGACGGGGGCCCGCACAAGCGGUGGAGCAUGUGGUUUAAUUCGAUGCAACGCGAAGAACCUUACCUGGUCUUGACAUCCACAGAACUUUCCAGAGAUGGAUUGGUGCCUUCGGGAACUGUGAGACAGGUGCUGCAUGGCUGUCGUCAGCUCGUGUUGUGAAAUGUUGGGUUAAGUCCCGCAACGAGCGCAACCCUUAUCCUUUGUUGCCAGCGGUUAGGCCGGGAACUCAAAGGAGACUGCCAGUGAUAAACUGGAGGAAGGUGGGGAUGACGUCAAGUCAUCAUGGCCCUUACGACCAGGGCUACACACGUGCUACAAUGGCAUAUACAAAGAGAAGCGACCUCGCGAGAGCAAGCGGACCUCAUAAAGUAUGUCGUAGUCCGGAUUGGAGUCUGCAACUCGACUCCAUGAAGUCGGAAUCGCUAGUAAUCGUAGAUCAGAAUGCUACGGUGAAUACGUUCCCGGGCCUUGUACACACCGCCCGUCACACCAUGGGAGUGGGUUGCAAAAGAAGUAGGUAGCUUAACCUUCGGGAGGGCGCUACCACUUUUAUCAGGGCCU